rnacentral:rRNA from 1 species
UACGUAGGUGGCGAGCGUUGUCCGGAUUUACUGGGCGUAAAGAGCGCGCAGGCGGCUGGGCAAGUCCGAUGUGAAAGCUUCCGGCUUAACUGGAAAAUUGCAUCGGAAACUGCUCGGCUUGAAGGUGGGAGAGGGUAGCGGAAUUCCCGGUGUAGUGGUGAAAUGCGUAGAUAUCGGGAGGAACACCAGUGGCGAAGGCGGCUACGUGGCCCACUCUUGACGCUGAGGCGCGAAAGCUAGGGGAGCAAACGGG